AUGCGAAUAGGUCACAAUGUUAAAACGCUCGCGGUGAGGAUAACUAGCAGUCCUGUAAUGUCAGAAGUCCCAGACGUUGCUGUCUUGGAAGGGGCCUUCCACAGGAGAGCGAGCGGAAGCCAUAAAUCCUCCUCCUCGAACAAGAAAUGUUUACUUAAUAAAGAACUGAAAGAAUGGUCGUACACAACAAAUUCGCCACCAUGCUCCAAGAAAAAACAAAAGACAGAGACUGUUUACAAAGAUGAUGCAUCUCAGCAGAACCCUAGCAGCCCGUCUGGCCGUGAGUGGGUCAGCGGGCAGGUCAGGGCCCAGCACACAGCAUGGCUUCAGCCCGGACAACAGCUCUUAGCCUGGCGUUUGUGGCCAAAUCACUGUUUACUGUCUGUGCACACAUGACUGGAGGUUUAUAGAUUCCAGCUGAUACUAUUCUCUUUUGAAGUUAGGAUUCGAAUCCCAGUUUCGUUACCAAAUGGAGAUAUUGAGGCAUACGGAUUUUUUUUUUUAACCAAAGCUGCCCAAAGGCGCUCAGUUACUGUUGCCGUGCGGAUGUCCAGGAUUGAGGCAGGAGGCUGUAGAUCCGGGUUGUGCCCGGGCACACCCACCGCUAAAUCCUCUCUGUGCGCUCGGCCCUGUGCCGUGCGAGCCCAGCGUUUUUCUGUUUCGUUGUUUCGUCAGGUGUCCCCAGCAAUAGCAAGGACUGUGACAAAGGACAGGCUGGGGUGAAACGGGCAUUGCGGAGUUUGCCAGACCUGACGCUCAGGGGAAGGUGGCCUGGAAAGUCCGCCUCUCGCCUUGCGGCAGAAGAGUGCUCGUUCCUGCAUGGCGGCCUCCUUUUUCUUGGCAAACAGACAUCUGGAAAUACAAAUCCCCAUAGUGCUAAAAAAGACAAAAAAACAAAAACCCCAAGAGUUGGCGGGCAGGCGUCUGGCCUGGUGGUUCGGACUCCAGAUCCCAUGUUGGCUCCUGGGUUCCUUUCCAGCUCUGGACCCUGCUCCCAUCUUCCUGUGAAUGUGGGAAUCCUGGGAGGCAGCAGGUGAAGUCGUUGGCUUCCUGCCAACUCCGUGGGAGACCUGCACUGCGAUCCUGCGAUCCUGGGUCCCAGAUUUGGCCCUGGCCCAGUCCUGGCCCUUGUGGGCCUUUGAGGAGUGGCCCGGUGGAUGGGCGCUCUCUCGCCUUGUCUGUAUUUCUGCCUCAAAUAAAUAAUUAACAUGUUAAAAGUUAAAAAAAAAA
rnacentral:lncRNA from 1 species